GUUUGUGCGAGAAAGUUGUGCGUUUAACAAAAUCAAUAAAUGAAAAGUUUAAAAUUUAUAAAAACAAUUUUUGGUGACAAAAAAGAAAUAAUUUGACGGAGAUAACAAUUACCAAUUGUUCCUAGAUGAAGUUCGUAAAAGCUACAGUUUAAGAGAUGUUAGUGUAGACGUACUCUCUAAAGGUUUCAAGAUAAAACAAAGCCAUUUUCCGGAUUUUGUUAAACAGUUUAUUGGAUCUACUGAUUUUGUUCUAGACAUUAAGCUGCCAAGUAUUGACGUUUGUGUAUCCAAUACGGACUCUGCAUUUGAAAGUGAAUCUAUAGAUUCCCCAUCAGCAGAACAUUUCGCAGCUGCUCAUCAAGCAAUAUCCUGCAUUGGAAACAUUUUUAAAUUCCUCCCAAGACAUAAUUGUUUUCACCAGUGUGGACAUUUGCAAAGUCUUCCAUCAAAGCAGGAAAUUAGCGCCAUCCCUGAUAUUAACCAAUUCUUAAAUGUUAAAACAUUGGAAAAUAAGGACCGCAUUAAAAUUUCAAAGGCUUUAAUGGAAUUUAUUCUAAAUAAAACCCCAAACAGACAGU